rnacentral:rRNA from 1 species
UACGGAGGGGGCUAGCGUUGUUCGGAAUUACUGGGCGUAAAGCGCACGUAGGCGGGUGGUUAAGUCAGGGGUGAAAUCCCGGAGCUCAACUCCGGAACUGCCUUUGAUACUGGCCAUCUAGAGAUCGGAAGAGGUGAGUGGAAUUCCCAGUGUAGAGGUGAAAUUCGUAGAUAUUGGGAAGAACACCAGUGGCGAAGGCGGCUCACUGGUCCGAUACUGACGCUGAGGUGCGAAAGCGUGGGGAGCAAACAGG